GGACGAUGAUGACAACAAGGAAGGUCUCGUUCGACAGAUUGGCCUAUCAGGCCAUGUUGACCAUUUCAGAAAGAUCACCACCCAUAAUCAGAUGUCC
rnacentral:snoRNA from 1 species